rnacentral:rRNA from 1 species
GGGUUAAGUCCCGCAACGAGCGCAACCCUUGUCGCUAAUUGCCAUCAUUCAGUUGGGCACUUUAGCGAGACUGCCGGUGACAAACCGGAGGAAGGUGGGGAUGACGUCAAGUCCUCAUGGCCCUUAUGGGUAGGGCUUCACACGUCAUACAAUGGUCGGUACAGAGGGUUGCCAAGCCGCGAGGUGGAGCCAAUCCCACAAAGCCGAUCGUAGUCCGGAUCGCAGUCUGCAACUCGACUGCGUGAAGUCGGAAUCGCUAGUAAUCGUGGAUCAGCAUGCCACGGUGAAUACGUUCCCGGGUCUUGUACACACCGCCCGUCACACCAUGGGAGUGGGUUUCACCAGAAGUAGUUAGCCUAACCGCAAGGGGGGCGAUUACCACGGUGGGAUUCAUGACUGGGGUGAAGUCGUAACAAGGUAGCCGUAGGGGAACCUGCGGCUGGAUCACCUCCUUU